GCCAAAGCUAGCCCAAACAAGUAGUACAUACUCAAAUAAUCAAUAAGAGUAAAUUAAAACAUUUAGUAACCAAUAUUAGUAUAGGAGAUAGAAAAUUUAAUUUGGCGCUAUAGAGAAAGUACCGUAAGGGAACGAUUGAAAGAUUAUUAAAAGCACAAAACAGCAAAGAUUAAAACUUGUACCUUUUGCAUAAUGAAUUAACUAGACAUACUUUAGCAAAGAGAACUUAAGUUAAAAAACCCGAAACCAGACGAGCUAUCCAUGAGCAGUGACAGAACUAACUCAUCUAUGUGGCAAAAUAGUGAGAAGACUUGUGGAUAGAGGUGAAAAGCCUACCGAGCCUGGUGAUAGCUGGUUGUCCAGGAAAAGAACAUAAGUUCUGCAUUAAAUUUACCACCAAAACACAAAAUUUAAAUGUAAAUUUAAAUGUUAACCUAAAGGGGUACAGCCCUUUAGGCAAAGGAUAAAACCUUAAUCAGAGAGUACGUAAUAUUUUAAAACCACAGUAGGCCUAAAAGCAGCCAUCAGUUAAGAAAGCGUUAAAGCUCAAAAAAUGUAUACAACUAAAUCCCAAAAAACACUACUAACUCCUGAACACAUACUGGACCAUUCUAUUAAUAUAUAGAAGAGAUACUGUUAAUAUGAGUAACAAGAAUUAUAUUCUCCACGCAUAAGUUUAUAUCAGACCAGAUAAACUACUGAUAGUUAACAGCAUUAUAAUAAAACACAUACACAAAGUCAUUAUUAAUAAAAACUGUUGACCCAACACAGGCAUGCAAUAAGGAAAGAUUAAAAGAAGUAAAAGGAACUCGGCAAACAAAAACCCCGCCUGUUUACCAAAAACAUCACCUCUAGCAUCACUAGUAUUAGAGGCACUGCCUGCCCAGUGACUAUUGUUCAACGGCCGCGGUAUCCUGACCGUGCAAAGGUAGCAUAAUCAUUUGUUCUCUAAAUAAGGACUUGCAUGAAUGGCUUGACGAGGGUUUAACUGUCUCUUACUUCCAAUCAGUGAAAUUGACCUCCCAGUGAAGAGGCUGGGAUUAAUAAAUAAGACGAGAAGACCCUAUGGAGCUUUAAUUAACUGGUCUACUAAUAAGAACUACAAACCGACAGGACUAAAACUUAUAUGACUAGACCAGCAAUUUUGGUUGGGGCGACCUCGGAGUAUAAAAAAACCUCCGAAUGACAAAAUCUAGACUUACAAGUCAAAAUAAACAUCAUACACUGAUCCAUAUUAUAUGAUCAACGGAACAAGUUACCCUAGGGAUAACAGCGCAAUCCUAUUCAAGAGUUCAUAUCGACAAUAGGGUUUACGACCUCGAUGUUGGAUCAGGACAUCCUAAUGGUGCACCCGCUAUUAAUGGUUCGUUUGUUCAACGAUUAAAGUCCUACGUGAUCUGAGUUCAGACCGGAGUAAUCCAGGUCGGUUUCUAUCUAUUCAACACUAUUCCCAGUACGAAAGGACAAGAAUAGUAAGGCCCACUUUACAGAAGAGCCUUCAAGCCUAUAUAUGAUAAAGUCUCAAUAUAGUAAACUUAUUAACAAGUUAACUACCCUAGACCAGGGUUG
rnacentral:rRNA from 1 species